AGAGGUCUUCCAUCCACUGGUUCACUCCCCAGUUGGCUGCAAUGGCUGGAGCUGCACCGAUCCGAAGCCAGGAGCUUCUCUGGGUCUCCCACGUGGGUGCAGGGACCCAAGCACCUGGGCAUCUUCUACUGCUUUCCCAGGUCAUAGCAGAGAGCUGGAUCGGAAGUGGAGCAGCGCCGGCCCCCAUCUGGUAUUUCUUACAGGUGUUUUUAAGUGUGGUAGGUAAAUUACAAAAUAAUUCCUGAUUUUUCAGUCACAGCUUUUAUGAUGAUCUUUAGAUACUAGCCCUUUGGAUACUGCCCAUAGUGUUGUGACUAAUGGGGUCAUUGUGGUCAGGCAAGAGCACCUGGUGAGCAUAUAUUAGCCUAGUAUUCUAUUCUCCUUGAGGGAGGACUCUAUGGAAAUUUUAAGGAUUCAUUUAUUUACUUGAAAGGGGGUGAGGGCCAUCUUCCAUCUGCUUGUUCACUCCUCAGAUGCCGGCAACAGUCAGGUCUGAGCCAGGCCUAAGCCAGGAGCCACCUGGGUGGCCAGAGUCCAUCUUUCUCUGCCUUCCACGCUCAUUGGCAGGAAGCUGACUUGGAGACAAAGCAGCGGGACUGUAACUGGUGCUCUGAUACCAGUGGCAUCGUGGUGACUUAACCCACUGUGCCACAAUGCUAGUCCCCUAAAUGACCACGUUUGGGUUAAGGAGAGCCUAUCAAAAUGUUUGUUGUCUAACUUGUGCUUUUUCAACUGAGUUUUGAAUUAGUGAACAUUGAUUUCAGAGUUCAGCUUUAGAAGCAGUCAGUUGGUGUUUAUUUGUUCACUCCCACAACCUCCCACCACACGCAUCUUUUUCUUCACUCCCCUGAAGCUGCGUGAGGCCGUAGGGUACACGGCCUGCUCUCGUUCAUCCUGGGGAUUGCGUUGCCGAGCCUGUGGCCCUGAGGUGUCUGUCCACACUUCACAAUAGCAGUGGUCUGUGCAUUUAACUGAAAGGUGGAGACAGGCAGUGAGAGAGCUUCCAUCUGCUGGUUCCCUUCCUAAUGCACAACAGCUGGAGCCGGGUCAGGCCAAAGCCAGGUCCCCCGCGUGGGUGGCAGGGACCCACUGCUGAACCACUGGGUGCGCAUUAGCAGGAAGCCUGCAGUGGGACAGAGCUGGGACCUGGACGUAGGUCCUGUGCUGUGGGGUGCUGGUACCCCACGCAGUGCCUUAGCGGCUGCACUGAACAGCUACUCCUUGUGUUUUGUCCACUCCUUGCUCACCUUGGAAAACCCGAUGCAUGGUUUAUUUUUUCUCUCAUUUUUGACUCUGGCAUCAAGAAUGCAGCUUCGGCAGCAGUGUCUGCGAGACAGACAGAUUUCAUAGAUUACUUCUUUUCUGCCAAAACAGUUUUUCUUUUGCAUUAUUUGAAGUUAAUGUUACCAAAAAUUAAGCCCAUUUAGAGGAAUUAUGGUUUUAAUCCAAAUGAUAGAAAGUGGGAAGCUAUUUCUAUGGAAAAUAAAAAUCUGUGUCACUUGGAACUAGGUUGCGUUAGUUAACGUGGGGGGGGGGGUGGCAAUAAGCCUCGCUGGGUGGUGGGAGCAGAGUGGGAGUGGGAGAUAACUGUCUCCGGAGCCAGUUCAGCCACUUCCUGUUCUCUGCAAACCUUGGCUGGGAAGCAGUCUCCCUCCCUUGGCCCCUCUGUGCACUGUGUCUUUCUUAGGGCUCUUUAGCGUGUGGCGGGACAGAGUGUUGUGAGCCCCUGAACAUGCACCUGCUCUGUGAUUAGCAUAUGCGGAACCUCAGAGAGUUUGUGGAAAAAAUGAUUGAAAGAUAUUUAUUUGGUACAAAAAACUUUUUAAGUACUCUUAUAUAUGUUUUAUUUCAUUAUUUGGUUAGAAGAGUAAUAUUUUUUCUUCUUUGUGUGUGUGUGUAUAAGAUGUAUUCAUUUAUUUGAAAGGCAGGGAAAGACAGGGAGAGAGAAUCCACUGGUUCUCUCCAGAUGCCCACAGCUGGGUCAGGCCAAAGCCAGGGAGCUGGGAGCUCCAUCCGGGUCUCCCACAUGGCGGCAGGAGCCCAAGUACUUGGGCCUCAUUGUCUCCUUGGCACAUUAGCUGAAGUUGGGUUGGAAACAUGGAGUAGCUGGGACUUGAACUGGGCCAUCUGAUAUGGGACACGGGUUCCCAAAUGUUGCUACAAUGCCUGCCUCACUUCUUGGCUUUUGUGUUGUAAUUUACAGAAGAGAUAUGUUAAAUAACUGAGAUUAGUAGAGAGGUAUAUAGAUAAGGGAAAAAAUAGGUGGGGAGGGUAGAACUCUUGUUUUAGUAACAUAAGCAGUUUAAUUAAUGUUAGGGAGCCAGCACCCUGGGGUAGCGGGUCAAGCAGCUGCCUGAGCUGCCAGCAUUCCAUAUGGGCGCUGGUUCAUAUCCCAGUUGCUCUCCACUUCUGAGCCGGCUCCCUGCUAAUGACCUGGAAAAGCAGCGGAAGAUGGUCCCAGUGCUUGGGCCCCUGUCACCCAUGUGGGAGACCCAAAUGAAGCUCCUGGCCUCUGGCUUUGACCUGGUCCAAUUCUGGUCAUUGAGGUCACUUGAAGAGUGACCCAGUGGAUGGGAGACCUCUCUCUGUCUUUCCUUCUUUUUCUGUAACUCUUUUAAAUAAUGAAAUAAAUAUUUUUAAGAAAGUCAUAACUUUAGUGAACAUAUGUUACCUAACUUUAAUGUAUCCAUAGUGAAAAUGUCUAUCCAAAAACUGCCUCUUGAAUUUAUCCCCUAAGUUAAUCUAUUUUUUUUGAAAGUUCUAUUUAUUUUCACUACAUUUGAAAGAUAGAGAACUCCCAUCUGCUGUUUCCCUCCCCCAAGGGCUGGGGCCGGGCCAAGCCAGGGCUGGGACCCUGGAGCUCAUUCCGGAUCUCCCACGUGGUGUCAGGGACCCUGCGGCGUGAGCGUGCUGCCUCCUCCCAGAAUGUGCAUCAGCAGGAGGCUGGAUCAGAAAGAGAGGAGCCAGGACUGCAACAUCAGAAAGAGAGGAGCCAGGACUCCAACGAGGCACCCGGAUGUGGGGCACAAGCAUCCCAGGCAGCAUGCUAACGGAGUUUAUUACUGCAUUCACUAGUCCUAGGCAUGGCCCGCUGCUGCGUGACGUUUGUGUCACACCUGGGCUUACAGGUCUUGGGUAGGUUUCUAGCCUUGCCAGGGUGAAUUCUUAGUUUCCUAAAGUACCUGACAUCAAACCAGCCUCCUUCCUAACUUCCCUUGUGUAAACUUCUCUGGUCUGUGGACUCCUUUGGUGACCUCACACAGUCCUGUGACUUUUAAUGCCACCAGGGACAGUUAUUGUGUCACAGCUCUGGAACUCUGCCUGGGGUGCCAGCAUCCCACACCCCAGUGCCUGAUCUGGCUUCCUGCUAAGGUGCACCCUGGGAGUCGGCAGCUGAUGGCUCAAGUAUUUGGGUCUCUGACAACCCACGUUGGGAUACCCAUAUGGGGUUCUGGGCUCCUUGGUUCCGCCUAGCCCAGACCCUGCUGUUGCAGGCAUUUGGGGAGUGAGCCAGUUUUCUCUCUCUCCCUCCCUCACUUGCCCCGACCCUGCAUGCACACGCACUCUGCUUUCAAACAAAUAAAAAUUAUUUAAAAUGCCGUAUACAUAUACUGAAACUCAUGAGUUUUUAUAAUCAACCUGGACCGCUCCCUAGGCUCAGCAUCGCGUGGCCAGUUCCUGUUCCGCAUUUUAGGGGGCUGUUCAGUGGCAUUUCCACUCUGUCCGUGCCCCACAUCUGUGCUUGCACCGCUCUCUUUACCAAAGCACAGCCAUCCUUACGGUUGUUACAGUCAAGAUCUUGGUCUCACUUGAUGUUCAUAUUUCUCUACAUGUACAGUCCAUCAGGAAUUAAAGAAGGGAUUCCUGAGUAACCCACAGGUCAAAGAAGAGCUCACAGGGAAAAUUAGAAAAUGACUUGAAUGGAAUUAGAAAAGAGAGCAUAUCAAAAUUCAUGUGAUGUAGCUGAACUGGACUAGAGGAGGGAAGUGUAGCACUGUUAGAAAAGGAGAAAGAUCUUGGGGCUGGCGCUGUGUAGUGGGUUAAGCGUCUGCCUGUGGCGUCAGCAUCUGGUAUGGGUGCCAGUUCUAGUCCCGGCUGCUCCACUUUGAUCCAGCUCCCUGCUGAUGGCCUGGGAGAGCAGUGGAAGAUGGCCCAAGUGUUUGGGCCCCUGCAACCAAGUGGGAAACCUGGAAGAAGCGCCUGGCUCCUGGCUUUGGAUCGGCACAUCUCUGGCUGUUGAGGCAUUUGAGGGGUGAACCAGUGGACGGAAUACCAACCUCUCUUAUCUCUCCCUCUUUAUGUCUGUGACUCUGCCUCUCAAAUAAAUAAAUAAAUCUUUUAAAAAAGAAAAAGAAAAGGAGAAAGAUCUCAAAUCAUUCACUUAAGCUGCUGUUUUAUGAAUCCAAAAAUGGAAGAACGAAACUAUAUCAAGGAAAGAAAGGAAAUGAAGGUGAAGGUGGAAAUCAAUGAAAGAAAUAUAAAAACAGGCCGGCGCCGCAGCUCACUAGGCUAAUCCUCUGCCUGCGGCGCCGGCACCCUAGGUUCUAGUCCCAGUUGGGGUGCCGGUUCUGUCUUCUUCCAGGCCAGCUCUCUGCUGUGGCCUGGGAGGGCAGUGGAGGAUGGCCCAAGUGCUUGGGCCCUGCACCCCAUGGGAGACCAGGAGAAGCACCUGGCUCCUGGCUUCGGAUCGGUGCAGCUCACCAGCCGUAGCAGCCAUUUGGGGGGUGAACCAAUGGAAAAGGAAGACCUUUCUGUUUCUCUCUCUCUCUCUCUAACUCUGCCUGUCCAAAAAAAAAUAAAUAAAUAAAUAAAAAGUUUUAAAAAAUAUAAAAACAGCUGAUCAAUCAAACCAAAAGCUGGUGAAUUGCUCGACUGACCAAGACAGAAGUCACAAACCCCAAAUCAAGACUGGAAGAGGUCCCGCCAUGCUGCUCUGGCUGGAGGUCUUUGGUUCUUAAAAAAAAAAAAAAGACUGAAAGAGAACCUGACUGCUGAUUUUUUUUUUUUUUUGACAGGCGGAGUGGACAGUGAGAGAGACAGAGAGAAAGGUCUUCCUUUUCUGUUGGUUCACCCCCCCAAUGGCCGCUGCAGCCAGUGCACCGCGCUGAUCUGAAGCCAGGAGCCAGGUGCUUCUCCUGGUCUCCCAUGGGGUGCAGGGCCCAAGGGCCUGAGCCAUCCUCCACUGCCCUCCGGGGCCACAGCAGAGAGCUGGCCUGGAAGAGGAGCAACCAGAACAGAACUGGCACCCCGACCGGGACUAGAACCCAGUGUGCCGGCGCCACAAGCGGAGGAUUAGCCUAGUGAGCCACGGCGCCAGCCCUGACUGCUGAUCUUAAAGAAACUAAAGUAGAUACUAUAAACAUUAUGCCAACAAAUUAGAUAAUUUAGGUCGAAUUACAGAUUCUUAGAUAAAUUACCGAAACUGACCCUAGAAAAAUAGAAAAUUUUUGUGGGAAUUGGAUGAGUAACUUAAAGUCUUCCCACAGAGAGAAGCUCAGGGCAUCUGGUCUUCAUUGGUGAAUCCUGUCAACCAUUCAAAGACCAUCACAGACAGUUCUAGAAAAUACAGGAGGUGGGAACACAUCCUAUCUGAUUGUAUGAGGCCUGUUACCAGGGCGCCAAAGCCAAAGCCAUCCCAAGACCAUAACCUGUAGUCCAGUAUCCCUUCAGAAUACAGAAGCAAACAUGUUCAAUAAAAUAAUAGGGGGCCAAGUCCAGCAUCAUAGAAAAAGGAUUCUAUAGCUUGACCAGGUGGGAUUUAUCCCGGAACUGGAAGAUUGGAUUAACAUCUUAAAAUCUUAAUGUAACAAAAUCUAGUGUGGUGGCACAGCGGGUUAAACUGCCGCUCUCAACAUCACCCUCCCAUAUCAGAGCUCUGGUUUGCGUUCCAGCCGCUCUGUUUCUGAUCCAGCUCUGGCUAAUGUGGGCGGGGGGGGGCAGGGAAUGGAGGCCCAGGUGGUCAGAGCCCUGCCAUCCUCGUGGGAGACCCAGCUAGAUCGCUGACUCUUGACUUUAGCCCGGACCAGACCCAGCCGUUGCAGCCACUAGAGGAGUAAACCAGCAGAAGGAAGAUCCCCCCCCCAAAUAAAAAAAUCUUUAAAAAAAGAAAGAUAUAAAAUCUGUUCAUUUAGUUUGCUAUAGUAAUAAAGCACACAGCCACGUGAUCAUCAGCUCAGUAGACGCAAAAGAAGCAAACUCAGCAUAGCAGAUGCACUUGUGGGAGGGAGUGUCUUCCACUGAUAGGGAUAUAGAUGGAAACAUGCAGAACACAUAGGCUAGUUUCAUUUCUAAAAAAUUUAUUUAUUUGAAAGGCAGAGUGGCAGAGAGGCAGAGGCAAAAAGAGAGAGGUCUUCCAUCCUCUGGUUCACUCCCCAACUGACCACAACGACCGGAGCUGCGCUGAUCUGAAGCCAGGAGCCAGGAGCUUCUUCCAGGUCUCCCACGUGGGUGCAGGGGCCCAAGGACUUGGGCCAUCUUCCACUGCUUCCCCAGGCCAUAGCAGGGAGCUGGAUCUGAAAUGGAGCAGCCAUGACUGGAUCCAGUGCCCAUAUGGGACGCCAGCACUGCAGACAGCGGCUUUACCUGAUAUGCCACAGCCAGCCCCAAGUAGGUUAAUUUCAUACUUAAGGAUGAACCACUCAAUACCUCCUCUUAAAAUUGAGAAUAAGGAAAGAAAGUAAGUUACCUUCGAUUCAACAUUGUACUGGAAUUGAAGGCCUGUGCAAUCUGCUAAGAAAAAUAAUUUUAGAAAAGUAUCUAUGGGGCCAGUGCUGUGGUACAGUAGGUUAAUCCUCCGCCUAUGGCGCCAGCAUCCCAUGUGGGUGCCAGUUCUAGUCCCGGCUGCUCCUCUUCCAAUCCAGCUCUCUGCUGUGGCCUGGGAAAGCAGUAGAAGAUGGCCCAAGUGCUUGGGCCCCUGCACCCACAUGGGAAACCCAGAAGAAGCUCCUGGCUCCUGGCUUCAGAUCGGUGCUCGCUCUCUCUCUCUCUCUCUCUCUACCUAUAACUCUGCCUCUCAAAUAAACAAAUAAAAUAUUUUUUUAAAAUAGCAUCUAGCUAUCUAGAGUAGGAACAAGUAAACUAUCAUUAUCCAUAGAUGACAUGUCCAAGAUGUAGAAAACCCUAAGAAACACACACACACAAAAUACUAGAACUGCUAAACAAGUUCAGUGAGGUUGCAGGUACAAGCCCAAUAUUCAGACAUUAUCUGCGGGGUGGUACUGUGGUGCAGCAGGACGCCCUCAUCCGACACCAGGAUGCCUGGGUUGAGUCCCAGCUACCCCGCACUUCCAAUCCAUCUUUCUGCUAAUGGACCCGGGAGGCAGUAGAUGAUGGCCCAAGUACUUGGAUUCCUGCCACCCACAUGGGAGUUCCUGGAUGGAGUUCCUGGCUCAAGGCUUCAGCCUGGCCUCACCCUAGCUGUUGGGGAGUGAACCAGUAGGUGAAAGAUCUCUUGAGUAUGGGGUUGGCACCACGGUGCAGGGAGUUAAAGCCCUGGCCUGCAGUGCCGGCAUCCCAUAUGGGUGCAGGUUCAAAUCCCGGCUGUUCCACUUCUGAUCCAGCUCCCUGCUAAUGCACAUGAGGGAGUACAAGCUGGCCCACAUGCUUGGGCCCCUGCACCCACAUGGAAAACCUGGAAGAGGCUCCUGGCUCCUGGCACCUGGCUUCGGAUCAGCUCCGCUCCGCUGUUGAGGCAGCCAUCUGGGGAGUGAACCAGUGAAUGGAAGACCUCUCUCUGUCUCUUCCUCCCUCUGUCUGUAACACUGCCUCUCAAAUAAAUAAAGUUUUUUUCAAAAAAAUAAAAAAUAAAAGAUUGUAUGGGAGUAUGUAUCUUUUUUCUGUCACUUUGUCUUUCAAGUAAUUAUUUCCAAAAAAUCAUGUACAUUUCCAUUUAUUUGCGGAAAAUGAUUUGAAAAUGAAAUUAAGAAAACUGGCUCAUUCACUGUAGCAGCAAAAGGAACUAAAUAUUUGUUUCUGAAUUUAACAGAAGUGAAGCAUGUUUGCACUGAAAACUGCAACCCAGAGCUGGGGUAGAAAAGACGCAGGCCAUGCCGUUGGGAGGCGUAGCCGCUUCCCCCAGACGACCUGUAGUCAGUGGGCUGUCAGAAUCCCUUACGGCUUUCCCCCAGAAAUUGGUAAGCUGAUUCUAAAGUUUGUAUAGGUAUUCAAAAGACUUAAAAUAACCAAAACAAUUUGACAAAUAAGAAAGUUAAAAGAGGGGCCGGCGCUGUGGCGAAGUAGGUUAAUCCUCCGCCUGCGGUGCCAGCAUCCCAUGUGGGCACCAGUUCUAGUCCCAGCUGCUCCUCUUUCCAUCCAGCUCUCUGCAGUGGCCUGGGAAAGCAAUGGAAAAUGGCUCAAGUCCCUGGGCCCCUGCACGCAUGUGGGAGACCAGAGGAGGCUCCUGGCUUCUGGCUUUGGAUCGGUGCAGCUCCAGCUGUUGGGGCCAUUUGGGGAGUGAACCAAAGGAUGGAAGACCUCUCUCUCUGUCUCUCCUUCUCACUGUGAUUCUCUCAAAUAAAUAAAAUCUUAAAAAAAAAAAAAAAAGUUAAAAGAAGGACUUGAAAUUCCCAUUUAAGAACAUGUUAUAAAACUGAAAUAAUGAAGACAUUGUAGUACUGCUUAAGGAGACAAACAGGUCAGAAUUGAGUGUUCCAGACCAAACCUUUAUGUUGGUGGUGAAUCGGUUUUUGAAAAAGUUGCCAGGGCCGGUACUGUAGCGCAGCGGGUUAAUGCCCUGUCCGGAAGCACCGGCAUCACAUAUGGGUGCUGGUUCAAGACCCAGCUGCUCCUCUUCCGAUCCAGCUCUCUGCGGUGGCCUGGGAAAGCAGUGGAAGAUGACCCAAGUGCUUGGGAACCUGCACCCACGUGGGAGACCCCGAGGAAGCUCCUGACUCCUGGCUUCAGAUCAGCACAGCUCCAGCUAUUGCAGCCAUCUGGGGAGUGAACCAGCAGAUGGAAGACCUCUCUCUCUCUCUCUCUCUCUCUCUCUCUCUCUCUCUGUGUAACUCUGACUUUCAAAUAAAAUCUUUAAAAAAAAAAAAAAGAAAAAGUUGCCAAGGCAGACUGGCGGGGAAAGUAUAAUCUUUCCAAUAAAUGGUGCUAGGACAAUUGGACUUCUGCAUGCAAGUGUGUUCCCAAGAAUGAAUCUUAUCUAAAAUUCAUAACGAUUUAAAAUUCACAGUUCUGUAGAGUUCCCAGAAAAGAGAUGGGUUGUGAUUUACUGAAAUCAGACCAUUGUGGGCCUUAGAGAAAACCAGGACUGUGCUUUCCAGCGUAGGAAAUGGGGAAAGGAGAGACAACUUGUAAAACAGAUUAGUAGGCCGGCGCCGCGGCUCACUAGGCUAAUCCUCCGCCUAGCGGCGCCGGCACACCGGGUUCUAGUCCCGGUCGGGGCGCCGGAUUCUGUCCCCGUUGCCCCUCUUCCAGGCCAGCUCUCUGCUGUGGCCAGGGAGUGCAGUGGAGGAUGGCCCAGGUGCUUGGGCCCUGCACCCCAUGGGAGACCAGGAGAAGCACCUGGCUCCUGCCAUCGGAUCAGCACGGUACACCGGCCGUGGCGGCCAUUGGAGGGUGAACCAACAGCAAAGGAAGACCUUUCUCUCUGUCUCUCUCUCUCACUGUCCACUCUGCCUGUCAAAAAAUAAAAAAAAAUAAAAAUAAAAAAAACAGAUUAGUAGACGUGUUUAUAAAAUUCAUGUUGCCAGAGAAAGGCAAAUUCUAGAAACCAGCUUAAAAAAAAAAAAAAAAACCAGAACACUUGACUUGGCGAAACUGAAACGAUGCUAAGGAGGCCCAGAAAAUCCGUCUCCACUGAUCUGAUGCUGAUGGCGUGAAAGUGGGCACAGAGAUGGGAACGAGGCUUGUCAGAAGACCUAGUUACUCUGGAAUCCUGGUGAGAUGCGUUUUGGCAUCUGUGUCCGUAAGCCGCACAUGCUAAGGCACAGCACUCAGCAGAUGUUGGUGUGUAUGGGCUGUGGCGCCACUGCAGCAGCAGGGGAGUGAGCGCGCCCGGGCUUAAUUCUGAAGCGCGCUUUAUUGAGGGAGGGCGAGGCAGUGCAGUAGAAGGGGAAAGAGGUAGCAUUUUUAAAGUGGGACACCACAGAGAUGGUGGUGGAGAGAAGGGGGUUCUUCCCUGGUACUUUUCCUGGAAAGACCAUUACAUUUAACAACUUCUAAAAUAUUUGUCAUUCUAGUAGGAAGACAGUCAGCUCUUAAAUACUGUUUAAUCAUUUGUCACCACAGUUAGGAUGCUGGUUGGGAUCCCUGCAUCCCAAAUCGGAGCGCCUGAGUUCUAAUCCCGGCUGCACUCCGGGUUCCUGGUUCCAGCGUCCUGCUCAUGAGCGCCUUGGGACGCAGCAGGGCGGCCAGAUAGCUGGGUCUCUGCCACCCCCUGGGGAUUGGCGGUCAGGAGACUUCUCCGUCUCGCCAUCUUUCAAGUAAACGUUUAAAAAAUAUGUUUUAUUUGUUUGAAAGACAUAGUGACAUGAGAGUUCUUCCACCUGCUGAUUCAUUUCACAAGUGCCUUCAACAGCCAGGGCUGUGCCAGGCCAAAGCCUGGAGCCCAGAUUGCAUCCGGGUCUCCCACACUGGGGCAGGGACCCAGGUGCUUGCGCCAUCACCUGCGUCCUCCCAGGUGUGCACCAGUAGGAGGCUGGAUCAGAAGCAGAGGUGGGCGCUCUCAUGGAAUGCAGGCGUCCCACACAGCAUCUCAGCACUGUGCAGCAACGCCGCCCUCGAAAUGUUUUAAAAAUUAAUUCAGAAUUAAUAUUACUUAAGCUUUUCCCUCUUUUGAGUAAAGUUGGUACAUUUGAAAAAAUACAGGAAAGCAUUGGGGUUAUGAAACUUACAGACUUUAUAGGCAAGUUUCAGCAACAAAAAUGGGAACCAACACAUGAUUUCUGUCUUUAUUUUUUAAAAAAGAUUUAUUUAUUUGAAAGGCAGAGUGACAGAGAAAAGGAGGGAGGGUGGGAGGCAGGGAGAGAAACCGUGAAACCUUCCAUCCGCUGGUUUACUCCCCAGUGGCUGCAGCGGCCAGGCUGAGCCAAGAAGCCAAGAGUCAAGAACUCCACCUGGAUCUCCCACGUGCGUUGGCGGGGCCCAGGCGCUUGGGCCAUCUUCCAUUGCUCUCCCAGGCUGGAACAAAAGCUGAGCAGUCGGGACACACAGCGAUGUUCUGAUAGCGGGAUUGCGGGCAGCAUCCUAACCCUGCAUCACAGCCCCACCCCCCACCCCACUGCCAUCUUUUAAUCUUGACAAGACGACAUUUCGGUGAAAACCACCACCAUCUACUUGUAUCGUUCCUUUAAAGAGCAUUCUCACACAAAGUGGAAGAUAAAAUGAGUAAAUUUAACUGAAAAAAUGUACUUUUAUCAUCCUUACAUUAAAAAAAAAAAGAUUUAUUUGAAAGGCAGAGUUACAGAGAAGCAGAGAGAGAGAGAGAGAGAGAGAGAGGUCUUCCAUCCACUGGUUCACUCCCCAGUUGGCCUCAUCGGCCGGAGCUGCACUGAUCAGAAGCCAGGAGCUUCUUCCAGGUCUCCCACGUGGGUGCAGGGGCCCAAGCAUGUGGGCCAUCUUCUACUGCUUUCCCAGGCCAUAGCAGAGAGCUGGAUUGGAAGUGGAGCAGCUGGGGCGUGAACCGGUGCCCACAGGGGAUGCCCGCACUGCAGGCGGCGCCCUUACCUGCUACACCACAGAGCUGGCCCCGUCAUCUUUACUUUCCUCAUGAUAUCACUGGUAGCCAGGCUGUGAGGACCGCUGCUGUAAGUGUAGUCCUAGAAGCUCUCAGAGUCGGGGUAGGUGUCUUGGAUUCGCCACCCCUUCUCUGAGUUUUGCUCAGCUCCCACAGGCUUCCUGUAAGGACAAAAUGAGAGACUGGAUAAGCUGUUCACUUCUCAGACACGCGCUGUCUUCCUUAUACUCAGCAAAUGUGCAGCCUGCUCCUCACUGUCACACGCUUGCUCGGUAAUUAACUGUAUUACCGUGUUGCUCGUCACUGUGAUUUCAGAGGAGUGACUCCAGUCUAGAGAGUGCCGUUGCUUUCUGUCGUAGAUAGAACGGUAAUUGCUUCGGUGUGAUUGUAAGGUGGGGGAAGCAGGUCGUUUUAUCCUGAAAACAGCCAUAAAUGCUGCUAUAUUAAAUUGUUGCUUGAACAAAAGGUGUGGGACGGCAGUUGCUUUUGUAUUCUUUGUAAAGAGAAGCAGGAUUUGUUCUUUGAUGACCAGAUUGUCCCUCUGAUUUCUGAAUUUCCCUGAGAAGCCUCAGCCAGAGUUCCAGCACUGCUUACAAACCUCUCUGUGACGUGGGCUGCAGCCUUGUCAUCGCUGCAGGCAGUCACUCAGGUAAAGCUUGUACCUGGCGAGAUCGGAUACCGACGAAACAUAGUUACUUAGUCACUUUGUAAAGUUCCCCCUCCCUCCAUUUUAAAGAUAUGUUAAAAAGAAAAAAGAAUAGAAUGCUUACAGGUUUCUGCUUGACAUACAAAUUGUGUGAAUGAUUGUAGGACAGGUAUCCCGGGUAGGAUCUAAUGGUACUUAGAUUUUUCUACCCUUUGUAAUGAUUCUGUGUACAUUUUCUUUCUAGUACUAGGUUACAGACUCCUUGAGAACAAGAUUCAUGUUGAAUUUAUCUUUUAUGAAACUUGGUUUAUUGAUUUAUACAUGGAGAACACUCAGCCCAUAGUGCUUGGUUGAUUGAAAACUAAUCUUCAUGUACAUUAGAUUUCUAUGCUGAUUUCUGCUGACAUCAGUUCUCCAAAGUUUGGUGAGAAUGGGAUGAUGAAGAAAAUACAGUGAACACGGGCGGUGCCGCGGCUCAAUAGGCUAAUCCUCCGCUUACGGCGCCGGCACCCCAGGUUCUAGUCCCGGUCGGGGCGCCAGAUUCUGUCCUGGUUGCCCCUCUUCCAGUCUAGCUCUCUGCUGUGGCCCGGGAAGGCAGUGGAGGAUGGCCCAAGUGCUUGGGCCCUGUACCCCAUGGGAGACCAGGAUAAACACCUGGCUCCUGGCUUCGGAUCAGCGCAGUGCGCUGGCUGCAGCAGCCAUUGGAGGGUGAACCAACGGCAAAGGCAGACCUUUCUCUCUGUCUCUCUCUCUCUCACUGUCCACUCUGCCUGUCAAAAAAAAAAAAAAUACAGUGAACAAUAAUAUCCCAUUUUCAGUUCCAUUAAUAGUUUUCCCAGACUUCCAGAGCCUAAUUUUAUUUAUUUAUUUAUUUAUUUGUUUAUGUGUGUGUGUGUUUGAAAGACAGAGGUAGAGAGAAAGAGAGAGAUAUCUUCUGUUUGCUGGUUCACUCCAGCUGGGCCAGGCUGAAAGCAGGAGCUAGGAGCUUCUUCAGGGUCUCCACAUGGGUGCAGGGGCCCGAGCACUUGGGUCAUCUGCUGCUGUUUUCCCAGUAGCAUUAGCAGGGAGCUGGACUAGAAGUGGAGCAGCCAGGACUGAAACUGGUGCCAACACUGCAGGCCGAGGCUUAACCUUCUACGCCACAGUGCUGGCCCCUAAUUUUAUUUCUGAACAGAUUUUUUUUUUUUUUUUUUUUUUUUUUUUGGAAAGCAUAGUUUCAGAGAGAUUGAUCUUUCAUCCACCAGUUCACCAAUUCACUCCCCAAAUAGCCAAAAGAUCUGGGCCUGGCAUGGCCAAAGCCAGGGGCCCAAGCACUUGGGCCAUCUUCUGCUGCUUUCUAGCAAGGAGAUGGAUUGGAAGCAGAGCAGCCACGACUGGGCCCAGGACUCCAGUAUGCGAGCGGGAGGUGGCGUACCCCACUGUGCCACGAUGCCGGCCCCUAGUGUCUAAUUUUAAAAUCAGGGGUAAUGAAAAGCAGUUCCUUGUCUCAGAGACAGUAGAUAUUUAUUAUGAUACAGUACAAAGCAGAAAGCCCAACUUGUUAGGUUAAAGGAAGCCAACAUUUAUUGGCCCCGACUUUGUGUUAGGACGGUGUCUUUGAAGCAGUCGCAGGUUCCUUUGAGAACCCAGAAAGCCUGAGCAUAAUAAGAAGACAUCUUGGUUAUAUAAAAUUUACCUGCAAAUAACUUCUCCUUUUCAAAUGUUUAUACCUUUUAUAUUGUGUAAAUUGCCUUAGAACUUAAACAAGAGGGAUAGCUAUACAAUUUUUUAUGAAGCUAGCACAAUUAUGAAACCAAAAACAUGAAAGUGACAGGAAGAAAGCCAGCUUUAGGUUUUUGUCAGAUAAUGUGAGCGUCUUGGAUGAUUUGUCAGAAAGUGUGACUCAUUGGUACUGAUAUUUAUGAAGUUUAUUUCUAAAGAGAGCUGGAGACGAGUGCAGCAGCAUAUUAAAGCGAUAGAGUCUAGACCCAGUGAGUUCAUGCUGUUAACGUCCAACACUGUAGUAGACGGAGAAAGAGGAUUCCUGAGAUUACCCCAGUUGCUAUCUGGAAAGUCAUCCAGUCAAAUUUAGUAUUUUUGGACUCCUGCUUCUGGCCAAGCCAGACUGCUGACCAACGCUGUCACCAAGAACUAAAAAUUUUAGGAAGAUGAUAAAAAAAAAAAAAAAAAAAAAAGGCAACAUUUGAAGACGUUGGAUGCCAGCAGGGCUUUAAGGAUUUUGAGGGGCCCAGUUCCUGGAGAGAAGGGAGGCUGAAGAGAUGGGAUCAGCACUGGUGCACGGGAGCCAGCCGGGGCGUUGCAGCCCAGGCGCUGUGCCGAGGGCUGAGCAGAGAGAGUGGGGCUCUCAGCGGAGUUGGAGAGUUCAGGGGUAACAAGGGGGCAAUGACCCCGGUGGGAACACCCCUCCCCAAGAGGAAGAAACACGACUUUUUGCCCUAGGCACAUGGUGAACCUAAAGAUGAUUCUGAAAUCCAGCCCUCACAGAAAUAGACUUCAUUUUGAAUCAGCUGAUGCAAAUUAAAGCUGGGGGAGGCGUUUGGCACAGGGGUGACUGCUGCCUGGGAAUCCUGCCCCCAGAUUGGACUGCUGGCUCCUCCUCCAAUUCCAGCUUCCCUCUACUGCACCCUCUGAGGCAGCCAGGGAUGGCCCCACCCCUUGGGCCCCUGCCACCCACGUGAGAGACCCAGAUUGAGUUCCUGGCUCCUGGCUUUGGCCUGGCCCAGCCCCGGCAGUUACAGGCAUUUUGGCAAGUGAACCAGCAGAGGGGGGAGUCAGGCACUGUGAGCGUCUCUCUCGUGAGCAGCUGGCUUCGCCGGAGGGCUCGUCAGGCACAGGCACAGGCGACUCCUCCCUGUCUCUGUGCGUCCACAGGUGACGCAGGGGAGCUCUGUGACACUCUCACUCUCUGUAACUCUGCCUUUCAAAUACAUGAACCAGUCUUUAAAAACAAGUCAGUGAAGGCACAGCGGCGAGGUCCAGCCUGCUGUUCAAGACGCCCGUGUCUGGUACCUGAGUGCCUGCUAACAUGACCCGCAGAAGCAGUGGUAGUGGCUCAAGUGGUUCGGACCCUGCCAUGCACGUGGGACACCUGGGCUGAGGCCCCCUCUGUGCUUCAGCCCAGUCCUGCAUGUUGUACUGUGGAGGACGGGUCACUCUACGACUGUGUGUCUGUCUGUCUCUCUCUCUCUCUCUCUCUCUCCACACCUCUCAAGUUAAAAAAAUAAAAAAAUAACCACCUUUGCUGGCUAACAAAUCUGUGUUCAGAUGACUGCUGUGGUUUCUAAUUCUUGACUACUACGAUUGCUAAGACUCCUCCUAACAACAAUAUUUAUCUACUUAAAUAUUACCCUCUAGGUCCAGGCCAACUGAAUAAGACAGAUGUGUGGGUUUUCCAUUUGCUGUAUGACGGGUCACCACAACCUUGGAGAUUCAAAAAGCAGAUAAUGUUAGUCCACAGUCUGCAGGCCGGAGGCUGGCGUGGGGUGACUGGGUGUCUGUCUGUGACGCUGAACAGCCGGGGUCAAGGUGUGAGCAGGCUCUGUGGAAGAAUCAGCUUCCCAGCUUGUUUGCAGACCCCAGCUCUUGGCCGGCUGCCGGUGGAGCGGCUCUCAGCGCCUUGACGCAGCUGCGCUCCGUGCUUCCUGCUCGUCGUCUCCAAACCAGCAGCUGUGUGCCCACGCUUUCUUAGGCUUCAGCUUUCGAGACCAUCUCUCUCCGACCUCUAAGCUGAGAUUUAAGGUCACCAAGCCUACCUGGAUGGUGUAUCUGACUUGGGAUUUGAGUUACAUAUUUUAAAAUACCUUCAAAACAGUACCUGAAUUUGUUUGAUUGAAUAUGCGGGAGAGGGUAUGUUGACUGUGGACUUGGACUCUUGGAGGGGUCUUAGAAUUGUGCCUGCUGGGGCCUGGCGCUGUGAUGUCGCGGGUAAAGCUGCUGCCUGGGACUCUGCUGCCCCACGUGGGGUGUUCCUGCUGCUCCAGUUCCAAUCCGUCUCCCUGAUAAUGGCCUGGGAAGCAAUGGAAGAUGGCCCAUGUAUUGGGACCUGUGCACCCACAUGGGAAACGCAGAUAAAACUCCUGGCUCCUGACUUCAGCUUGGCCCUGAGCUGGCCAUUGUGGCCAUCUGGGGAGUAAACCAGCAAAUGGAAGAUUCUCUCUCUCUCUCUGUAACUCUGACUUUCAAAAUAAAUGAAUAAAUCUUAAAAGGGGGGGGGGGGGCAGCACUGUAGCGCAGUGGGUGAACACCCUGGCCUGAAGUACUGGUAUCCCACAUGGGUGCUGUUCGAGACCCGGCUGCUCUACUUCUGAUCCAGCUCCCUGCUGUGGCCUGGGAAAGCAGAAGAUGGCUCAAGUCCUCAGGCCCCUGCACCCACGUGGGAGACCCAGAUGGAGCUCCUGGCUCCUGCCUCUAGCCUGGUCCAGCCCUGGCUGUUGGGUGCAUGUGGGGAGCGAACCAGCAGAUGGAAGAUCUUUCUCUGUUUCUCUUCCUCUCUGUCACUCUUUCAAGUAAAUAAAUAGAUAAAUCUUUUAAAAAUUAAUUUGUAGGUUUAAAACAAUUAUAAUUUUUAAAAACAUUUUUUCUUUUAGAACAAAUAAUGACUCAUUUCAUCCAGAAGGGUGAGGACAAUCGGGAGAAAACUUUUGAGGUGAUGAAAGGAAACUGGUGGUGGCAGAAUUCUGAGACUUCAAUGCUUGAAGCUUCUUCCAGGUCUCCCACGUGGGUGCAGGGGCCCAAGGACUUGGGCCAUCCUCCACUGCUUUCCCAGGCCAUAGCAGAGAGCUGGAUUGGAAGAGGAGCAGCCGGACUCCACUGGUGCCCAUAUAGGAUGCCGGUGCUGCAGGGGGAAGAUUAGCCCAUGACACCAUAGCGCCAGCCCUGAAUAUUAAAUUUUAUAAAAAUAAUUAUUUCAGGGGCCGGUGCCAUGGCUCACUUGGUUAAUCCUCCACCUGCGGUGCUGGCAUCCCAUAUGGGUGCCGGAUUCUAAUCUAGGCUGCUCCUCUUCCAGUCCAGCUCUCUGCUGUGGCCUGAAACACAUUUCGCACGUUUUACAUCUCCAGAAUUGCUGUUUGCCUUACAUCCAGUGGGACGCGUAUAGCAGGGCGUGAUCGGCAGCAUUUCUUUCUUAGUGAUGCACAGAAGCACUGUGCGUCGUCUGUCUGAGGCGUCUUAGGUUGGGUAGAAUGCAGUGCUUUGUAGCAGGUCCACCUGGAAGGGCCGCUGUGUAGCUGUGCCGCGCCGUCGUCCUGCAGGAAUGGAGGUCCUUCUGCGGCUGCGUAGGCAGUUGGUGCCGCCUUCUCCUUUGAGAAGCCCUACCCAAGUGCUUCUGGUCAUGCUCCGUGGAGUCCAAGCUUAUGUAUCAUUCGGUCACCUAACACACAAGCUCAGAUGUGUGUGUAUACGCAUCGCUUUGUUUCAGAAGAGUCACCCUGUAUUGGGGACGUCUGCAGAAGCGGGCCGGUGCCCCGGCCCAGAGUCGCCAUUAGCCCCAGAACGCAUCCUCAUCUUCCUGCGGGAAGAAGCUUCACUGAGUGCAUCUGGAGCCCUCUCCCAGCCUCCCUGUGUGGGGCCGUGGGUGAGGGAAGACCCUGCAGACCUCCCAGAUCCCUGUGUGGGGCCGUGGGUGUGAGGGAGACCCUGCAGACCUCCCAGCCUCCCUGUGUGGGGCCGUGGGUGUGAGGGAGACCCUGCAGACCUCCCAGCCUCCCUGUGUGGGGCCGUGGGUGUGAGGGAGACCCUGCAGACCUCCCAGCCUCCCUGUGUGGGGCCGUGGGUGUGAGGGAGACCCUGCAGACCUCCCAGCCUCCCUGUGUGGGGCCGUGGGUGUGAGGGAAGACCCUGCAGACCUCCCAGCCUCCCUGUGUGGGGCCGUGGGUGUGAGGGAGACCCUGCAGACCUCCCAGCCUCCCUGUGUGGGGCCGUGGGUGUGAGGGAGACCCUGCAGACCUCCCAGCCUCCCUGUGUGGGGCCGUGGGUGAGGGAAGACCCUGCAGACCUCCCAGCCUCCCUGUGUGGGGCCGUGGGUGAGGGAAGACCUUGCAGACCUCCCAGCCUCCCUGUGUGGGGCCGUGGGUGUGAGGGAGACCCUGCAGACCUCCCAGCCUCCCUGUGUGGGGCCGUGGGCGUGAGGAAGAACCUGCAGACCUUCCAGCCGUGGACUGGAGAGGCGGGAGGGCGGCCGGCGGGAGGGCGCUUAAGCCACCAGCUGAGAUGUACUCGUUCCAUCCGAGUGUCUGGACUCGAGCCCCAGCUCUGCCCCGCUUCUGUCUUGCUGCUGACGCACACCCUUCGAGGAGCAGAUGACGGCUCAGGUCGUUGGGUUCCUGCCACUCAUGUGAGAGACCUGGAAUGAGUGUUAGAUGCCCAGCUCCAGCCCAGCCCUGGCCCUUACAGGCAUUCGGGGAGGGAGCCAGCAGGUAGGAGCACUCUUGUAUCUGUCUGUCUCCCCCCAUCCUACUCCCUCCCUCCCUCCCUCCCUUUCAAAUAAAUAAAAGUAAAAUGUAAAAGAAAUUUAAAGGCUUUUUAAAAUAUGUAUUUGUUUAUUUGAGAAGCAGAGUUACAGAGGGAGAGACAGAGAGGUCUUCCGUCCGCUGGUUCACUCCCCAAAUGGCUGCAACAACUGGAGCUGGGCCAAUGCAAAGCCAGGAGCCAGGAGCUCCUUCCCAGUCUCCCACGCAGGUACAGGGUCCAAGCACUUGGGCCAUCUUCUGCUCUUCCAAGCCACUAGGGAGCUGGAUUGAAGGUGGAGCAGCCAUAUGGGAUGCUGGUGCCACAGCCCCGGCCCCAAGAGCAUGCACUCUUUGGGGGUGCUGUGUAGUAUGGCGGAUGCGGUGAGUGACAUUUGACUGACAGUUCAGUCACUGUGUGAGCACAUGUGGCCUUGAAGGCUCAGGUGGUGUCCAUUCCAACAAGGUUGCUUUGAGGAGUGACUGAGAUCAUGGAUCUCAAUGAUCUGCACAGCCCAGUGCCUAGUAAGUUACAGUUCUUGCUGCCCUUGGGUUUUCCAGAGACUGCGUAACUCGAUGCUGGCUGCUUGCUUGUAUGUGUUUCCACUGGAACUUGGUAUUUAUGGAGGAUUCUUUGAUUGUCUAAGUUUUGUCUUUGGAUUAAGCAAGACCAUCAGAAACCUUCACACUUGGACUGUCUCUGGCUGUCCAGAGAACUGCUGAGUUUUCCCAUCGGGCUUUUUGACUCGCAGGAGGCUGCGAGAGCGCGUCUAGUAAAGCCGCCACUGCAGAUUUGAGGGCCUCAGCGUCGCUGUCUGGGCAAGAGCGCGUCGCCUGUGCAUCCGCCGCUCUGAGGACGGAGGCUGUCGUGAGGGUGAUCUGGUAAACUGCUAGUUGCUUCCCCGAUAGGGCAGAUUGUAAGUCAGUGCCCUACACGUAUGAACCCGUUACUAGACCUGAUUCUGCUCAAGUCUUGGGAGAGGUAAACUCUAGGUGUAAUAUUGUAAGAAAUCAGGGUAGGCAUUGUGGCGUAGUGGCUAAGCUGCUGCUUGGAGAGCCUGGGUCAAGCCCCGGCUCCUCUCGUUCCCACCCGGCUCCCGGCUGAUGCGCCCUGGGAGGCAGCAGUGAGGGCGCAAGCACUUGGGCCCCUGCACCCACGUGGCAGACACAGAUGGGGUUCAUGACUGCUGGCUUCAGCCUGGCCCAGCCCUGCUGUUGCCACCAUCGGAGGAGUAAGCCAGAGAUGGAAAGUCGAUCAACUGAUCUCUCUCUCUCUCUCUCUCUCUCUCUCUCUGCCUUUAAAUAAAAUGAAAACAAAUAAAAAUUUAGAAAACAAAUCAAUCAAAAUGAUGGCAGUUAGCAGGAUGUACUUUAUGACAGUCUUAGGAAACAUUUGCUUUUUGAAAUUGGUGCCUGGACAUGGGGCAUGCAGUACAUACAGCCUACACACUGUGAGUAUUACAGUUGUUCAAAGGGGCCGGUGCUGUGGCGUAGCGGGUAAAGCCGCCGCCUGCAGUGCCAGCAUCCCAUAUGGUGCCGGUUCGAGUCCCGGCUGCUCCACUUCCCAUCCAGCUCUCUGCUGUGGCCUGGGAAAGCAGUGGAAGAUGGUGCAAGUUCUUGGGCCCCUGCACCUGCGUGGGAGACCCGGAAGAAGCUCCUGGCUUUGGAUCAGCGCAGCUCCAGCCAUUGUGGCCAACUGGGGAGUGAACCAGUGAAUUGGAAGACCCCUCUGUCUGUCUCUCUGUCUCUGUCUCUCUCUCUCUGCCUCUUCUCUCUCUGUGUAACUCUGACUUUAAAAUAAAUAAAUAAUUUUUUUUUAAAAAACAAGUUGUUAAAAGGCGGGAAGUAGCUUAAAAAGUAGAAAGGGCAGUUUGUGACUCUAAAGGGGCGGGAUGGGGGGGGGGGGUUCCGCGGCCCAGCGGUUGGUGUGCUGUUCCUGAUUGCUGAGGGAGGGGCUAGCUCCUGAGCCUAAUUGUGUCAUAACAGUGCAGCCCAUAACAGCAUAACAGGACACUUUUCUCUAAUCAAGUAGUUCCUCCAGGAUUUCUGUCGGGACUUUUUUUUUCUUUUUUUUGCAAUCUAAACUUGGUAUAGGUUUGAAAAUAAAAUUUUUCUAUAAUUUGUAUUUUUCAGAUAAGUUUUCUUCCUCAAUGCUGAAAUAAGAGUUUUCAUAUUUCACAUUUUUAUGAGACAUAUCAACAAACCUCUUAGUAUCUGUGUGUUUUUCCUGCAACAAUAUAAUUUGUCAAAUUUUUUUCUAUUUAGGUCAACAUUUGAGUGCUUUAUCAGCUUAUUACUCUAAUAUGUACAUUUUUUUAAAAAGAUUGAUUUAUUUAUUUGAAAGGCAAGGUGAUAGGCAAAGAGUCAACCAUCUGCUGGUUCACUCCCCAAACACCCACAACAGCCAGGGCUGGCAAGCCAGAGCCAGGAGCUCCACCUGGAUCUCCCCUGGGUGGCAGGAACCCAACUACUUGGGCAGUUGUCUGCACUCCCAGUUGCAUUAGCAUAAAACUGAAUGGAAGGUGGAGGUAGGGCUCAAACCCAGGCACUCUGAUGUGGAAUGCAGGCAUCCCAGAUCACUACACACCCCGGCACCUCAGCACGAACCCUUGAAGCAGCCUCUCCCCUUAUCCUUGCGUGAAACCCCGGGCUUCACAGAUGUCUUGGGGCCAAGGGGCGAGUGGAUGAUGGUGUCAGGAGGCUCUGCCCAGCCCUGGCACACAUGCCUGUUCUACAUUAGAUCGCAGCUUUGGGCAUGCGUUAGCGUAGUGGCUCCUGGAGCUGAGCCCACUCCGCUGACCGUGCUUCCAGCUCGCAGAAUCACAGAGACUGAAGGAAGCGUGACAGAGACCCUCUGCAGCCCAGCUCUCACCCUGCUGGGCCCCAGGCCCUUCCCUCACCUCAGGGGCUAGUCACUGCUCAGCGUGCAUGCUGCUGGCACGCCGUCCUUUUUCCUUCAUGACCAUCUCUCAAGUUGCCCCAGUACUCUAAAGCUGGUGGAAUGUAAAGCUGUCGUGAAGGUAAAAGAAAGUACUGUUGGGGCCGGCACUGUGGUGCAGCAGGCAGAGCUGCCGCCUGCAGCGUCGGCAUCCCACGUGGGUGGUUCAAGUCCCAGCUGCUCCACUUCCGAUCCAGCUCCCUGCUAUGGCCUGGGAAAGCAAUAGAGGAUGGUCCAAGUUCUUGGGCCCCUGCACCCACGUGGGAGACCUGGAGGAGGCUGCUGGCUCCUGGCUUUGGAUUGGCUCAGCUCUAGCCAUUGUGGCCAUUUGGGGAGUGAACCAGCAGAUGGAAGACCUAUCUCAUUCCCUACCUCUCUCUGUAACUGUCUUUCAAAUAAAAAAAAAAUCUUAAAAAAAAAACAAACAUCAUUUGUGGGCCAUACAAAAUCACCAGUUUGAAGACUGGCCUGUUGGAGAUUUGGUGAAUUCUGAGUCCCACCUGCAGCUGCCGUGGCAGGGCCAGGCCAGGUGAUUUGUGGGCCGUGUGUAGCUGUGACGUUCCCCGCCCCUCAGGCACAUCUAUGAAUUGUAUUUAUGCUUGUGUGACAGUAUUAAGCAGUCUCCAUUUUACUGGCAGAUUUGAAAGAGGCUCUAAUGUUAGUGUCCUCACGCAGGAGAGCGAGCCUGUGCAGUAGUGAGAAUGGGGAGAGUUUGCUACGAAGAAUCCCUGGAGUGGGCAUUUGGCACAGCCAUUAAGAGGCCGCUUGGGAUGCCUGCAUCCCCAACACAGUGCCUAGGUUCAAGCUUCGUCGUCUUCUUUUUUUUUUUUUUUAGUUAAUUAAUUUAUUUGAAAGAGUUACAAAGAGAGAGAGAGAGAGAUCUUCCAUCUCCCCAAUUGGCCACUCUGCAAUUGGCCACAACGGCUAGAGCUGAGCCAUUCUUGAGGCCAGGAGCCGGGAGCUUCUUCCAGGUCUCCCACAUGGGUGCAGGGGCCCAAGCACUUGGGUCAUCUUCCACUGCUUUCCCAGGCCACAGCAGAGAUCUGGAUGGGAAGUGGAGUAGCCGGGUCUCGAACCUGCGCCCAUAUGGGAUGCCGGCGCUUCAGGCCAGGGCUUUGACCCGCUGCACCACAGCGCCAGCCCCAGAACUUCUGCUUCUAAUCCAGCUUCCUGCUGCAGCACAACCUGGGAGGCGCAGGCAAUGCUCAAUUACCUGGGUCCCUGCCGCCCACAUGGGAGACCAGCCUGAGCCCCAGCUCCUGGCUUUGGCCUGGCCCGGCCCUGGCUGUUGACCGGCAUUUGAGGAGUGAACCAGUGGGUGGGGGAUCUCUGACUCUGUCUCUGUCCAUCUGACUCUCUCCAUGUCUGUCCCUCUGCCCUGAUGAAUCAAACAAUAAAUGCGUAAAUGAUUGUUUUAAUUAUUAACUGUAACAAGGACUUAGAGUAAUAAGGGACUGGUUAGUGAGAAGCAAAGGAAACAGGAGAUUAUAGCAAUAGCAGAAAUAAGGUGCAUUCCUGCCCAGGCCCAGAGGGAGCACCCAAAGACAGCCUCCAAGGCUAAGGCCCGGGCCGCACGGGAGCCGCCACAGCCGUGGCUCAGGGGGCGGCAGGGAAGCUGCUGUGGUGCUGUGUAGACAGAGCUCGCUGGGAACCCUUCAGCUGUAGUGGAAGUGUCCAGCCAGGUGCCACCUGCCCAGGCCUGCCUGGCCCAAAAACCCUUCUCCUGCAUGCCUCUCCAGUGCCCUCUGCUGAGAGAGCAGUGUGCUGGCAAGCAAAAAUUGUUAAAGGUCUUAGGUGGAUUUUACAGAACUGGUAAACCGUGAAGUCUGGCGCCAAGAGGCAGUAAAUCAAUAAGCAGCGCCCCUCCGCCACCUCCAGCUUCAUCAGUUGCUGCAAGUGGACACUGAGGGGGAAACAGUGCACUGCCUGCUUUCACAUUCUGUAGCGAAGAAUGGAAUCUUCGUCACUGUCAACCACUCGGCGUGUCCACUAGGACAGCUGCGUCUGUGCCACGGCGUGUCCGCUAGGACAGCUGUGUCUGUGCCACGGCGUGUCCCCGCUAGGACAGCUGUGUCUGUGCUACAGCGUGUCCCCACUAGGGCAGCUGUGUCUGUGCCAUGACGUGUCCCCGCUAGGACAGCUGUGUCUGUGCCACGGUGUGUCCCCGCUAGGACAGCUGUGUCUGUGCCACGGCGUGUCCCCGCUAGGACAGCUGUGUCUGUGCCACAGCGUGUCCCCGCUAGGGCAGCUGGGUCUGUGUCACGGAGUGUCCACUAGGACAGCUGUGUCUGUGCCACGGCUUGUCCACUAGGACAGCUGUGUCUGUGCCAUGACGUGUCCGCUAGGACAGCUGUGUCUGUGCCACAGCGUGUCCACUAGGACAGCUGUGUCUGUGCCACAGCGUGUCCCCGCUAGGACAGCUGUGUCUGUGCCACGGCGUGUCCCCGCUAGGACAGCUGUGUCUGUGCCACGGCGUGUCCCCGCUAGGACAGCUGUGUCUGUGCCACGGCGUGUCCCCGCUAGGACAGCUGUGUCUAUGCCACGGCAUGUCCCCACUAGGACAGCUGGGUCUGUGCCACGGCGUGUCCCCACUAGGACAGCUGGGUCUGUGCCACAGCGUGUCCCCACUAGGACAGCCGGGUCUGUGCCAUGGCAUGUCCGCUAGGACAGCCGGGUCUGUGCCACGGCGUGUCCGCUAGGACAGCCGGGUCUGUGCCACGGCGUGUCCGCUAGGACAGCCGGGUCUGUGCCACGGCGUGUCCGCUAGGACAGCCGUGUCUGUGCCACGGCGUGUCCUCUAGGACAGCUGUGUCUGUGCCACGGCGUGUCCGCUAGGACAGCUGUGCCUGAGAGCCAGCUGGAAAUUUUCUUCUGCUCUGUGAAGCAUUUUCACAGAAUGUGUAUUCACAUGCGAUUAUAUAAUUGACUGUGGAAAUGGAGUGUUAUUAAAGUUCUGCUGUUGGGGCAGCUAUUAGGUAAAGCAGUUAAGAUGCUGCCUGAAACACCCACGUUCCCUAGCAGAGUGCCUGGUUCUAGUCUGGCUCUGGUUCUAGUCGCAGCCUCCUGGUAGUGCACACCCAGGGAGUCAGAGUGAUGGCUCAAGUAGUUAAGUCCCUGCCAUCCACAGGGGAGGCCCAAAUGGAGUGAUUGUUCCUGGCUUUGGCCUGGCCCAGCCCCUGCUGUUGUGGGCAUUUGGGGAGAGAACCAGCAGAUGGAAGAUCUGUCUGUCUCUGUAUGUAUAUCUCUCUCCACUUUUCAGAUGAAAAGGAAAAGAAAUAAUUCUAAAUCAAAGAACUACACUUGUGAGGCCGGCGCUGUGGCACAUUAGGUUAAUCCUCCGCCUGCAGUGCUAGCAUCCCAUAUGGGUGCCGGUUCGAGUCCUGGCUGCCCCUCUUCCAAUCCAGCUCUCUGCUGUGGCCUGGGAAAGCAAUAGAACCUGGCCCAAGUCCUUGGGCCCCUGCAUCCAUGUAAGAGACCUGGAAGAAGCUCCUGGCCCCUGGCCUUGGAUCAGCACAGCUCUGGCCAUUGUGGCCAUCUAGGGAAUGAACCAGUGGACUGAAGACCUCUCUGUCUCUCCCUCUUUAAAAAAAGAACUAUACUUGUAAUGAACAUGCUAAUAGUUAUGCUAAAGUAAUUUUAUAGUGAUAAGAUAUUUAUUCAACCCAAUUAGUUUUUUUUUAAAUUUUAUUAUUAUUAUUUUUUUUUUUUUGACAGGCAGAGUGGACAGUGAGAGAGAGAGACAGAGAGAAAGGUCUUCCUUUUGCCGUUGGUUCACCCUCCAAUGGCCGCCGCGGCCAGCGCGCUGCGGCCGGCGCACCGCGCUGAUCCGAUAGCAGGAGCCAGGAGCCAGGUGCUUUUCCUGGUCUCCCAUGGGGUGCAGGGCCCAAGCACCUGGGCCAUCCUCCACUGCACUCCCUGGCCACAGUAGAGAGCUGACCUGGAAGAGGGGCAACCGGGACAGAAUCCGGCGCCCCAACCAGGACUAGAACCCUGUGUGCUGGCGCCGCUAGGCAGAGGAUUAGCCUAGUGAGCCGCGGCGCCGGCCACAACCCAAUUAGUUUUAAGACAAGUUGUAAUUAAGUAGUUCUGCAGCAGUCAGUACUAACCUUCCCUGAGUAAGCCUGGGUAGAUUGUUGAUAAGCUGUAUUUGUCAGGAUUCUUUGGUUACAGGCAGUGAGAGGAGCUGUAUGGUUUCGGGGUGUGGGGUUGUAAGUGAUGUAAGGGGGCCGACAGAGCUGGAGGAGACACUGAAGACCAGAACAGGGACCUACAGCGUCCUGCAGCCUAGGCAGCAAGCGCUGCUGGCGGGUGUGCAGGCGGACAGUCAGUGCCACAGACGUGCUGCAGCUGCUGCCACUCCAGGGCAGGGCUCGGGUUCCAGGGCGCUGGGGCUGGCCUGGCGUGAACCAUGCUCAGCCCUGGCCCAGAGAGGGCAAGGGGUCGCGGUAGCAGGCUGCAGAAAUGACCCUUCUGCACUCAAAGGUCAUGGAGUCGUAGUCCUUGUCUCCUUUUCUUAGCUUCUGUUUCUUGGUGGCUUCAUUUUCAGACUCUCUCUGGUUGAGAGAUGGCCACGGCAAUGCCCAGCGCUCUGGUUCUGUGGAGUUCACGGCCGGUGUCGUCUGGCACUUGGGGCUCUUCAGUGAGCCGCGUGAUGCAUCCCUGGUGCUGCUGCCUCUGGAAGCCCUGGGCUGCGAGGGCGGGAGGUGGCACCCGACAGGAUGGGUGGAGGAGGCCGGGCGGCACAGGGGGUCUUAGCAACCUGCGCCAGCACUAAGAGGAAAACGUGACAGGGCGCCUCCUCAGACCUCUGCGUCCUUCAGCACCCUUCCCAAAGGAAGAUCCCUGUUAGGUUCAGAGCACAAGUCGGCCUCGCCUUCUGCAGGCAAGGGUUCCAGCGUCAGUGGCCCGCGUGUGCACUGCUAGGGAGUUGGUAUGAGAGCUGGGGCAGGGGCGGGGAGGGCUGAGGUCGUAGUUGAGUUCUCAGAGCCCCAGCUCUGCUCUGUGGGGCCUUGACCCAGGCAUGCAGAACUCAGAGAGGACCCCUCAGUGGUGGAGGCUCGUGCCUAGGAUUGCCGGUCUCCUUGGAGUCUCCGCAUGCUGCCUAGCUCACAGGAGCCUCUGGGGAGAACAGUGGACCCUCACUCGGCUUUUCCUGCCUGUGCCACCACGUCACGCCUCGCCCCAGCCCAGCACAGCUCUGGCUGCAGCCCCACCCGCUGGCCAAAGCUUCAAGAAAAAGGGAAGACUGGGGAAAUUCAUUCUCGUCCGAAGUUUGCUCUCCCCAGUCUGCCUACUUGUGUUUAUUUUUUAUUUAUGUUUUUCGAAUUUAUAUUGUACUUUGUCCAAUUUUGGGGUUGAGGCAAAUCAGUGGGAGAGAGUGGCUGUAGGGGGCUCACCCCACCGUGGCCAGCACCCAGAGUCCCAAGUGAUGACCUGUGUCAACCUUCCAUCCUGCAUACCAUAGAUAGUAUGUCACGGUGUCUGCGUCAGGAGGCUGAGCUUAGCUGGGUCCCCUUCAAGGCCUGCACCUGUGGGACAGGGCAGCAUCCAGGCUGCCCCAGGCCAGUGGCCAAGCUUAGUUCUUUGCAGUUGGAUUGACAGCUGAUGUCUUCAAAGCCACGGCCAAGAAGGAGGCUAUAAAGCAGCCUGCCAGAAGGGAGUCUUUAAAAGGGGAAAAAAAAAAAAAGUGUGUUUAUUUAUUUUGAAAGGUUUAGAGACAGAGAGGGAUCUUCCAUCCACUGGUUCACUCCCCAGUGGCUGCAGCAGCCGGUCCAACACUUGGGCCAUUUUCCCACUGCUUUUCCCAGGCCGUUAGCAGAACUGGAUUGGAAGUGGAGCAGCCGAGACACAAACCAGCACCCGUGUGGGGUGCCAGCGGGGGCUUUGCCCCUGCAGCACAGCGCCAGCCCCUGGGAAGGGGUCCUAAGGGAGUGGCAUUCAUCUUGGCCAUCUCGCAAUGGUUAGAAGCAGAGCACCCAAGGUGUGUGAGCAUCAGAGGACCUUGGAGUCCAUCAGCCAUCUCACCUCUGGUCCUCAACCCCAGACUCCACGUGGCGGGUGGGAAAUAAUCACUGGACCGGCCCUGCCUCCUGGGAAUCUGGACUCGGGAGCCAGGACAGGGUCAGCGCCAGGCACCGCUAGAUGAGCCCUGGGCGUCCUGCUUGGCCUCUGCACUGCCUGGCCAAAUGGCUGCCUGCACUGAGCGCUCUCCAAGGUGGAUGUGUGUGGUCUCACAGAGACCCCUGAGAAUGCCCCAGGAGGCUGUUGGCUUGUUCAUCUGAGGAGAGACUGUGGGUGGUGGAGAAGGAGGGACCUGACUUUUCUUUGUGGCCUUUUGUACGUAUUUUUCUUCAUGUAUUUUUUUGUACAUGUAUUUAAUUUUGCAAAGUAAAAAUAGGACUAGAUGUUGAUUUUUAAAUUUUAUUGGCGAACAAUAGAAAACCUGUGCAUUAGGAGUUAGAAGUAAAAAGAUUACUGCUAGCCAGGAGAAGACUGGAUAAAGCCGUAUCAAAGGGCAGAUGUCGGAAGUACGCUUUGUCGCGUCAGCCUGAGCAGAGGCGGGGAAGUGUCGGUUCUCGUGGCGGCAAGAACUCUGCUCCCAGCACCGACUGUACCAUCACAGCAAAAUCUUAACGCCGCUGAGGGAGUCGCGGCUCUGAUUCAUUUAAUUUGCUGAUUAAAGAGAAUUAAAAUCAUUUUUAUUCUUAUUGAGUACCUUUUUAAAUUUACUAUCUGAAGGCAGUGGGAUGGCCUCGUUGUGCUGUGGGUUGAGGAAGUGCAGUGGCACUGUGACCUGGCUUCCCCUGGCGUGUGGCAGAACUGUCAUUCACACGGGCUCCUGCGCCUGUGGCCUGCCCUCUGCACCUGUAACCUGAAAACAUUCCCGAAAGCUCCAUGUGUCUUCUCAGGUAAAGCGCAGUCUCUUUCCCGCUUGACAGUUCUCGUCGGCCUUGGCUGAACACUGGAGUCUGGAAGCCUGAGUCCCACUCCCAGGGCGCGCACUGGAGUGGGUUGCGACCACGGUGGAAACUUCUCCAGUGACGUUGAUGGGUACCAAAGCUGAACCACGGUUUCAGGGCUUGGCUGGUCUGUUUUAGACAGCAGGAAACAGAGCUCCUAUCUGUUUGUUCCCUCCGCAAACACCUGCAGUGGGUGGGGUGAGGCCGGGCCGGAGCCGGGAGCCAGGAACUCCAUCCAGGUCUCCACCAGCCGUCACCUGCUGCCUCCUGGUGUGUGCAUUAGCAGGAAGCUGGAAUGCGAGUAGAACCAGGAAUCGAACCCAAGCACUGCCUAUGGGAUGUGGGCACCUUUACCACUUGGCCAAAAACACACCCGAACCACUGUUUUAAAGGGAGAAGACUCACAAAGACACCUCCUCAUCCUGUGGAUUUAUGUUUUCAUUAUAAUUGAAUUACUUGACUAAUAUUAUUAUAUUUGUACAAACUGACACUAGGUUGAAAAUUCCUUGUGCGUGUAGCUGAAUAUAAAAAAUUUACAAAUUAAAAACAGACUGAAAAGUUAAUAAAUUCAAGACAAUAUUAAUAGAUGGAUGUCAGGUUUAUUUUAUUUAUUUGAAAGAGUUAAAGAGAGAGGCAGAGGCAGAGAGAGAGGUCUUCCAUCUCCCCAAAUGGCUGCAACGGCUGGAGCUGAGCUGAGCUGAAGCCAGGAGCCUGGAGCCUGGAGCUUCCUCUGGGUCUCCCAUGUGGGUACAGGGGCCCAAGGACUUGAACCAUCUUCUCUGCUUUCCAAGGUGCAUUAGUUGGGAGCUGAAUCAGAAGUGGAGCAGCCGGGACCUGAAUGGGCACCCACACAGGGUGCUGGCAGCCCAGGCCGGGGCUUGAACCCGUGUGCCACAGCGCCAGCCCUGGAUGACAGAAUUUUGCUGAGGUUUUGGGCUUGCUGUUCCUCUACUAACUCCGUUACAGUGACCUUCCCUCUGUAUCAGUCUGGUCCACUUGGGAGAUAGGAGCCACACAGAUAAAGUUUAACUCCAGAAAUAAUUAAACUGUGAUAAAGGGUAUUAACUCCAGAAAUGAUAGGGCUCCCGAGCUGAGGGUGAGAACCCAAGGAAGGACUCAGGUGGAAGAGGCCCCCAAGGCUGAAGUUUGAGGAGGGUAUAGCUGCACACUGAUGGCCAAGCUCACAGACACGCGGUGGAAGUGGGGUGUCUGCGGUGUCCCAGUCAGGAGGGCUGUGUUACUGAAAGUACCACAGGGCACAGAUCUGGGGCUCACAGGGUCUGUGCUGGGGGGUCGUGAGAAGGUGCCCCAGACCGUGUCUGAGCUGCAAGGUGGCUGAGAAACCACCCAUGCUGGACCCAUGGCUGGGGCCAUCGCUAGGUGGUCUCACACCCGAAAGUUGGCCCCGCCGUGCAGCAGCCAGAAGCAGGAGGCCCCCUCCGGUGUCCUGCAGGUGCCCUGUACUGAGAAAGCUCCAUGCUGUGCCCACUCUGUCGUUAUCACAGAGCCCAUGUUGAAGGGCGAAUUUGGAGCUGAUGGCAGUGAGUGGAGAGCCAGGCUGCGUUGCGACAUUUCAGCCCUGAGUCGCAGGCGGCUGGGACCACUUCCACGCUGAGCUGCCCUGUGCUGACUCAGCACCCUACACCACUGACCAUGCCUUGUGGGGAUGUUUGCAGACAACAGGCUUAUCAAGCAUCACCUCUCCAGGCUGUGACUCGGCUGACAGACGUCCACAUUUUGGAGAUACCUUGAAUGACUGAUGAUGACCCUGAGACAACGGUGAGGAAUGCGGGUCUGGCCUGGCCGCCGUUGUACCCUUUCCCCCGCGCGAUGCCCAGCACGUGCAGGCUGAACACAGCAGCCAGCGGAGGCAGCCAGGACAUGAGGGCGCUUGGUGCAGUAGUGUGGGGUCCAUGUCCGUUUCCCACCUGCACUCGGAAUGUCCUCCUGAAUCCCAUGCACACACGCCGUCCAUGGCUCAAAACUUUCUGCAGCUAAUGUUCCUCAUGCUUGAUCUGAGACAGGUGGGGCUGGCAGUGACAGAGCGGUCUCUAGGAUGCACAGGUCUCUAAGACUCACAGGUCUCUAGGACGCACAGGUCUCUAGGACACACAGGUCUCUAGGAUGCACAGGUCUCUAAGACUCACAGGUCUCUAGGACGCACAGGUCUCUAGGACACACAGGUCUCUAGGACGCACAGGUCUCUAAGACUCACAGGUCUCUAGGACGCACAGGUCUCUAAGACUCACAGGUCUCUAGGAUGCACAGGUCUCUAGGAUGCACAGGUCUCUAG